AACUACACAAAGUCCUCCCAAUGAAUGGCGGAGACGGACACAAUAGCUACGCCAAUAACUCCCCGCUUCAGAACAAAGUGAUUUUAAGGGUAAAACCCAAUUUACAAGAAAGCAUUGCGGAUCUAUACAGCAAGAAUUUCCCAGACUGCAUAACAAUGGCGGACAUGGGUUGCUCUUCAGGUCCCAACACUUUCCUCCCAAUAUGGCAGGUCAUAGAGGCUCUUGAUGAAACUUGCCGUAGAUUGAAUCGAAAGCCCCCCAUAUUGCAGGUGUUCUUGAAUGAUCAUCCAGAGAAUGAUUUCAACUUCAUCUUCAAGACAUUGCCUAGUUUCCAUAAGAAACUUGAGGAAGAAAAAGGCAGCAACUUUGGGCCUUGUUUCAUAGCUGCUAUGCCUGGAAAUUUUUAUGGAAGGCUCUUUCGUCCGCAUUCCCUUCACUUUGUUUACUCUUCCUACAGUCUCCAGUGGUGCUCUGAGGUACCAAAAAUUCCAGUAAACAAAGGUAACAUUUACCUGGCAAAGACAAGUCCUCCUAGCGUUCACAGGGCAUACCUGAAUCAAUUUGAGAAAGACAUGAAAGCAUUUUUGAGUUGUCGCUCUGAAGAAAUCAUUCAAGGAGGCCACAUGUUUAUCACAAUUUAUGGAAGAGAUGACAAUUAUGAUGAUUCUUCCCACAAGUACACGCCUAAUAUGUGGGAGUUACUGGGGAUAACACUAAAUGACAUGGUCUCCGAGGGUUUAAUUGAAGAAUCAAAACUGGACUCCUUCAACAUUCCAGUCUAUGGACCAUCUGCUGAAGAAUUGAAAAAUGUGAUUGAAGCACAAGGAUCAUUUACCAUCAAUAGACUUGAAACGUUCAAAGUAGGCUGGGUUGAAGCCAUGGAUAAUCCUUACAAGGACUCAAUGGAUAAGUAUAAGAGAGGCAAGCAUAUAGCAAGUCGAAUAAGAGGUAUCUCAGAGUCUCUUCUAGCAUUUCAUUUUGGAUGUGAGUUUAUUGAUAAUAUAUUUCAAAGGUUUUCCAUAAAGAUCGAAGAACAAUUGGAAUUAACAAUGGAUGGUGGUAACACCAAUCAUGUCGUUUCAAUGACCAAGAAAUGAAUACUUAUAAAGCUCAUUAGUAUUCCUUCGAUUUCUUAUUAGCAAUGUAUGAAUGUUAGCCUAAUCAGGCUCUCUUAACUUGAAU
rnacentral:misc_RNA from 1 species